AGCAGUAGCCGCGGUAAUACAGAGGGUGCGAGCGUUAAUCGGAUUUACUGGGCGUAAAGCGUGCGUAGGCGGCUUUUUAAGUCGGAUGUGAAAUCCCUGAGCUUAACUUAGGAAUUGCAUUCGAUACUGGGAAGCUAGAGUAUGGGAGAGGAUGGUAGAAUUCCAGGUGUAGCGGUGAAAUGCGUAGAGAUCUGGAGGAAUACCGAUGGCGAAGGCAGCCAUCUGGCCUAACACUGACGCUGAGGUACGAAAGCAUGGGGAGCAAACAGGAUUAGAUACCCCUGUAGUCCCUGUCUCUUAUAC
rnacentral:rRNA from 1 species